AGCGAGAGUGGAGAAGACCGUUGC
rnacentral:siRNA from 1 species